GUUUGGGAGAAGAUAUCUACUUUGAAGAAACAUUUUUCAAAGAGGAAAGUCUGGACACCACGAGGCAAUCAUAAAAGCUAACAGCUUUGGAUUGAGAAAUAAUACAUAAUUCUCAAUUACCAAAAGUGCCACAGAGACUAUACUAGAAAGGUAACUUUCAAAAGGUGAAAAGUCAUUUUGUGUACUACAAGAUUACUACAAGAUUUAUUUUUGUGUGAUUCUGUAUUGCGAUAAAUGAAAAAUUUGAAAAAAUUUUUGGUAAACUGUAUGAGGUGCAAUGGGAAUGGUAUUUUUAUUUUAUUUAUGCCUCUAUCGUAGGAUAAAAAUAUACCCAGCUUGAGCUUUUUGGUGACAAAAGGCCUAGAUAGAUUGAUAUCGAGAUACAAAAUCCGGCUUAUUACUCCCAUUCUUUU
rnacentral:RNase_P_RNA from 1 species